rnacentral:rRNA from 1 species
AGUGAACGCUGGCGGUAGACCUAACACAUGCAAGUCGAACGGCAGCACAGUAAGAGCUUGCUCUUACGGGUGGCGAGUGGCGGACGGGUGAGGAAUACAUCGGAAUCUACUUUUUCGUGGGGGAUAACGUAGGGAAACUUACGCUAAUACCGCAUACGACCUACGGGUGAAAGCAGGGGAUCUUCGGACCUUGCGCGAUUGAAUGAGCCGAUGUCGGAUUAGCUAGUUGGCGGGGUAAAGGCCCACCAAGGCGACGAUCCGUAGCUGGUCUGAGAGGAUGAUCAGCCACACUGGAACUGAGACACGGUCCAGACUCCUACGGGAGGCAGCAGUGGGGAAUAUUGGACAAUUGGCGCAAGCCUGAUCCAGCCAUACCGCGUGGGUGAAGAAGGCCUUCGGGUUGUAAAGCCCUUUUGUUGGGAAAGAAAAGCAGCAGGUUAAUACCCCGCUGUUCUGACGGUACCCAAAGAAUAAGCACCGGCUAACUUCGUG